GAUGAACGCUGGCGGCGUGCUUAACACAUGCAAGUCGAACGGUGAAGCUCAGCUUGCUGGGUGGAUCAGUGGCGAACGGGUGAGUAACACGUGAGCAACCUGCCCCUGACUCUGGGAUAAGCGCUGGAAACGGUGUCUAAUACUGGAUAUGUACCACGAUCGCAUGGUCUGUGGUUGGAAAGAUUUUUCGGUUGGGGAUGGGCUCGCGGCCUAUCAGCUUGUUGGUGAGGUAAUGGCUCACCAAGGCGUCGACGGGUAGCCGGCCUGAGAGGGUGACCGGCCACACUGGGACUGAGACACGGCCCAGACUCCUACGGGAGGCAGCAGUGGGGAAUAUUGCACAAUGGGCGGAAGCCUGAUCCAGCAACGCCGCGUGAGGGAUGACGGCCUUCGGGUUGUAAACCUCUUUCACCCAUGACGAAGCGCAAGUGACGGUAGUGGGAGAAGAAGCACCGGCCAACUACGUGCCAGCAGCCGCCGUAACAC
rnacentral:rRNA from 1 species